rnacentral:rRNA from 1 species
UACGAAGGGGGCUAGCGUUGUUCGGAUUUACUGGGCGUAAAGCGCACGUAGGCGGGUUGUUAAGUCAGGGGUGAAAUCCCGGGGCUCAACCUCGGAACUGCCUUUGAUACUGCAAAUCUCGAGUCCGAUAGAGGUGGGUGGAAUUCCUAGUGUAGAGGUGAAAUUCGUAGAUAUUAGGAAGAACACCGGUGGCGAAGGCGGCCCACUGGAUCGGUACUGACGCUGAGGUGCGGAAGCGUGGGGAGCAAACAGG